rnacentral:rRNA from 1 species
AGAAGUAAGCAAGGGCAAACGGAGGAUGCCUUGGCUCUCGGAGGCGACGAAGGACGUGAUAAGCUGCGAAAAGCUGCGGGGAGGUGCAAAUAACCAUUGAUCCGUGGAUAUCCGAAUGGGGCAACCCGUUGAGUUGAAGACUCAACAUUCUUUAAUAAGAAGGCGAACGUGGGGAACUGAAACAUCUCAUUACCCAUAGGAGGAGAAAAUAACAAUGAUUUCGCAAGUAGUGGCGAGCGAACGCGAAAGAGCCCAAACCUAUGUUGUUUAGGCGAUAUAGGGGUUGUAGGACUGCGAUAUAAGAUGAUGAAUUGAAUCAGAAUCGUAAUGGAAAAUUGAGCGAGACAAGGUGAAAGCCCUGUAUGAGUAAGAUUCAUUGUUUUUAGCAGUAUCCUGAGUAGCGCGGGACACGAGAAAUCCUGUGUGAAUCAGCGGGGACCAUCCCGUAAGGCUAAAUACUCCCGAGAGACCGAUAGUGGACAAGUACCGUGAGGGAAAGGUGAAAAGAACCUCGAACAGAGGAGUGAAAUAGAACCUGAAACCGUUUGCUUACAAGCGGUCGGAGCAUCUUUUUAGGUGUGACGGCGUGCCUUUUGCAUAAUGAACCUACGAGUUACUGUCACCAGCGAGAUUAAGUGUUUUAGGCACGCAGUCGAAGGGAAACCGAGUCUUAACAGGGCGCAUAGUUGGUGGUAGUAGACGCGAAACCAAGUGAUCUACCCUUGAGCAGGUUGAAGUUGCCGUAACAGGUAAUGGAGGACCGAACCAGUUGACGUUGAAAAGUCUUUGGAUGACUUGAGGGUAGGGGUGAAAGGCUAAUCAAACUUGGAGAUAGCUCGUACUCCCCGAAAUGCAUUUAGGUGCAGCGUGCAAAAAGUUUAACAGAGGUAGAGCGACUGAUUGGAUGCGAGGCUUUCACCGGCUAUCAAGUUCAGACAAACUCCGAAUGCUGUUAAAUGCUUUUGUGCAGUGAGGGCACGGGUGCUAAGGUCCGUGUCCGAGAGGAGAAGAAUCCAGACCAUCAGCUAAGGUCCCGAAAUAAUAGCUAAGUUGAACUAACGAAGUCGAACUGCAUAGACAGCUAGGAUGUUGGCUUGGAAGCAGCCAUUCAUUUAAAGAGUGCGUAACAGCUCACUAGUCGAGCGGUUUGGCGUGGAUAAUAAUCGGGCAUAAGCUAUUUACCGAAGCUGUGGAAUAUAAUAUAUUGGUAGGGGGGCAUUCCAUAUUCGUUGAAGAUAGAGGGUUACCUUUAUUGGAGGGUAUGGAAAAGCAAAUGUAGGUAUAAGUAACGAUAAGGAGGGCGCGAACCCCUCCCGCCGGAAGACUGAGGGUUCCUGAACAACGUUAAUCGGUUCAGGGUUAGUCGGGACCUAAGGAGAAGCCGAAAGGCGCAUCUGAUGGAAGAACAGGUUAAUAAUCCUGUACUGGCGUAUGGAGCGAAGUGGGGACGGAGAAGUGAAAGUCCUGCGUACUGACGGAAUAGUACGUUGAAGGGUGUAGGUGUAGAUAUUCGUAGGCAAAUCCGCGGAUAGAGCCGAACCUGAAAGUACCGAGCGUCUUCGGACAAUCGGAUAUGGAUGUAAUCAGACUCCCUAGAAAAACCGCUAAGCAUAUUCAUACGGCACCCGUACCAUAAACGGACACACGUGGUCAAGUAUAGAGUAUUAAGGCGCUCGAGUGAUCCGCGGCUAAGGAACUAGGCAAAAUAGUCCUGUAACUUCGGAAAAAGGGACACCUACCCAGCGAUGGGAGGUCGCAGAAGAAUGGCCCAGGCGACUGUUUAACAAAAACAUAGGGCUUUGCCAAAUCGCAAGAUGAAGUAUAAGGCCUGACACCUGCCCGGUGCUGGAAGGUUAAGAGGAGAUGUCAUCGCAAGAGAAGCAUUGAAUUGAAGCCCCAGUAAACGGCGGCCGUAACUAUAACGGUCCUAAGGUAGCGAAAUUCCUUGUCGGGU